UGCAGAAAAUAGUUUAUUUAAAACAUCAGCUUUGGGAGCUGGAGAAAGAGGUUUAAGUCCUUUUUUUCUGAGU
rnacentral:tRNA from 1 species